rnacentral:tRNA from 1 species
GCCUGUCUGGCUCAGUUGGUAGAGUAUGCAACUCUUGAUCUCAGAAUUGUGAAUUCGAACCUCACGUUGGGUG